CAGAAUGAAUGAGAACCAAAGCAGAAACCUGUUCUACUCAUCUCAGGUGAUGGAAACACUGAGACCUUUUCCAGAAGUGACUUCAACCAAGUUUCACAACCCUGGCAGUUAAUAUAGAAAAAUAAGCAGAUCAACAUACUGAGAUGAAUAUAUACUGCAAGGAGGAAAGUAGUGAGACUUUGGAAUCAUCUAAUUCUAUUUGAAGAUCAAAACAAAUUGCACAUCACCUGAUUCUUUGUCAAAAGUUUUUGAAAAGGUACCCGGGUCAAACAAACCUUCACUUCUUUUGAAUAUGUGCAAAAUUACACUAC
rnacentral:lncRNA from 1 species